CCCAUAUGGAUAAGGAUUGAUGGAUAAGGUAAGUUUGAAAUUGUUUAGAACUUGUUUCCUUAUCUAGGAGAGAUUGGAUCUCAUCCUAACUACCACAUGCCAUACCUAAAAAGUUUUUUUUCUUUUGUGCAAUAAAAGGAGGGGUGUGUGGUGUGGGAAAUCAGAUGGAGAUCUGAUUUAUCAUGAGGAAACAAUUUAUGGCACGAUGGAC
rnacentral:lncRNA from 1 species